UACGUAGGGUGCAAGCGUUUGUCCGGAAUUAUUGGGCGUAAAGAGCUCGUAGGCGGUUUGUUGCGUCGGCUGUGAAAUCCCGAGGCUCAACCUCGGGUCUGCGAGUCGAUACGAGCAAACUAGAGUGUUGCAGGGGAGACUGGAAUUCCUGGUGAUAGCGGUGAAAUGCGCAGAUAUCAGGAGGAACACCGGUGGCGAAGGCGGCGUUCUGGACUGCAACUGACACUGAUGAACGAAAGCCAGGGGAGCAAACGGG
rnacentral:rRNA from 1 species